UACGUAGGGUGCGAGCGUUAAUCGGAAUUACUGGGCGUAAAGCGCACGUAGGCGGCUUCUUAAGUCGGUGGUGAAAUCCUGGAGCUCAACUCCAGAACUGCCUUCGAUACUGGGAAGCUCGAGUCCGGGAGAGGUGAGUGGAAUUCCCAGUGUAGCGGUGAAAUGCGUAGAUAUUGGGAGGAACACCAGUGGCGAAGGCGGCUCACUGGACCGGUACUGACGCUGAUGCGCGAAAGCGUGGGGAGCAAACGGG
rnacentral:rRNA from 1 species